rnacentral:rRNA from 1 species
AUUGAACGCUGGCGGCAGGCCUAACACAUGCAAGUCGGACGGUAGCACAGAGGAGCUUGCUCCUCGGGUGACGAGUGGCGGACGGGUGAGUAAUGUCUGGGGAUCUGCCCGAUAGAGGGGGAUAACCACUGGAAACGGUGGCUAAUACCGCAUAACGUCGCAAGACCAAAGAGGGGGACCUUCGGGCCUCUCACUAUCGGAUGAACCCAGAUGGGAUUAGCUAGUAGGCGGGGUAACGGCCCACCUAGGCGACGAUCCCUAGCUGGUCUGAGAGGAUGACCAGCCACACUGGAACUGAGACACGGUCCAGAAUCCUACGGGAGGCAGCAGUGGGGAAUAUUGCACAAUGGGCGCAAGCCUGAUGCAGCCAUGCCGCGUGUAUGAAGAAGGCCUUCGGGUUGUAAAGUACUUUCAGCGGGGAGGAAGGCGGUGAAGUUAAUAGCUUCACCGAUUGACGUUACCCGCAGAAGAAGCACCGGCUAACUCCGUGCCAGCCGCCGCAGUAA